GAAAGCUGGAAUAUUGAUGUCAGCAGACAUAUCAAUGCAACCUUGGGUUCAAACGUGACCAUUCAAUGUCACUUCACCGUUCCAACUAAACAUUACACGGAAAUACAGAGGAAAGACCCGGCUCAUGGGAAAUAAAAGCGCAGGGAACUGCUCCCUCAAGAUCUUCAAUAUCAGGGAUAAUGUCCCAAACAUCUAUGUGAGACUUAUUGCAAAGGGGGACAACUACAGUUUUUCACAAAAUAGUGUCUCCAUUGCUGUAACUGGUACAACACAGCUAACUCCCAUCACUCAAGGACAACCAGUGGGAGCAGACCCGGAGAAUGAUCUACUAAAGCAUGUGUCCAUCUCCGUACCAGUUGUUGCCAUUCUGACCAUCAUUGUUGUUGUUGGAAUUGUCCUUGGCAUAAAACACAAAAGGUCAGCAUCCUUUAUCAGGGAGGAUUCAAGAUAUUAUGCUAAUUUCAGCCGAGCAAACCAACUGCAAAGGGAAGCGUCUUGCCAGAAACCAGAGAACAGUAAAGUUUCUGAACAGAAAGACAUUGAGGAACCGGUUUACGCCAACAUUGAG
ensembl:lncRNA